GCGCCGGUGGUGUAAUGGUAUAGAGCAUCCCCGCCCAGCCUCAGAAGGUGCGGGUUCGAGCCCCGCCUGCCGCU
rnacentral:tRNA from 1 species